AAUGAACCGGCGAGUUACGAUUUGAUGCAAGGUUAAGCAGUAAAUGUGGAGCCGUAGCGAAAGCGAGUCUGAAUAGGGCGUUUAGUAUUUGGUCGUAGACCCGAAACCAGGUGAUCUACCCUUGGUCAGGUUGAAGUUCAGGUAACACUGAAUGGAGGACCGAACCGACUUACGUUGAAAAGUGAGCGGAUGAACUGAGGGUAGCGGAGAAAUUCCAAUCGAACCUGGAGAUAGCUGGUUCUCUCCGAAAUAGCUUUAGGGCUAGCCUCAAGUGAUGAUUAUUGGAGGUAGAGCACUGUUUGGACGAGGGGCCCCUCUCGGGUUACCGAAUUCAGACAAACUCCGAAUGCCAAUUAAUUUAACUUGGGAGUCAGAACAUGGGUGAUAAGGUCCGUGUUCGAAAGGGAAACAGCCCAGACCACCAGCUAAGGUCCCAAAAUAUAUGUUAAGUGGAAAAGGAUGUGGCGUUGCCCAGACAACUAGGAUGUUGGCUUAGAAGCAGCCAUCAUUUAAAGAGUGCGUAAUAGCUCACUAGUCGAGUGACACUGCGCCGAAAAUGUACCGGGGCUAAACAUAUUACCGAAGCUGUGGAUUGUCCUUUGGACAAUGGUAGGAGAGCGUUCUAAGGGCGUUGAAGCAUGAUCGUAAGGACAUGUGGAGCGCUUAGAAGUGAGAAUGCCGGUGUGAGUAGCGAAAGACGGGUGAGAAUCCCGUCCACCGAUUGACUAAGGUUUCCAGAGGAAGGCUCGUCCGCUCUGGGUUAGUCGGGUCCUAAGCUGAGGCCGACAGGCGUAGGCGAUGGAUAACAGGUUGAUAUUCCUGUACCACCUAUAAUCGUUUUAAUCGAUGGGGGGACGCAGUAGGAUAGGCGAAGCGUGCGAUUGGAUUGCACGUCUAAGCAGUAAGGCUGAGUAUUAGGCAAAUCCGGUACUCGUUAAGGCUGAGCUGUGAUGGGGAGAAGACAUUGAGUCUUCGAGUCGUUGAUUUCACACUGCCGAGAAAAGCCUCUAGAUAGAAAAUAGGUGCCCGUACCGCAAACCGACACAGGUAGUCAAGAUGAGAAUUCUAAGGUGAGCGAGCGAACUCUCGUUAAGGAACUCGGCAAAAUGACCCCGUAACUUCGGGAGAAGGGGUGCUCUUUAGGGUUAACGCCCAGAAGAGCCGCAGUGAAUAGGCCCAAGCGACUGUUUAUCAAAAACACAGGUCUCUGCUAAACCGUAAGGUGAUGUAUAGGGGCUGACGCCUGCCCGGUGCUGGAAGGUUAAGAGGAGUGGUUAGCUUCUGCGAAGCUACGAAUCGAAGCCCCAGUAAACGGCGGCCGUAACUAUAACGGUCCUAAGGUAGCGAAAUUCCUUGUCGGGUAAGUUCCGACCCGCACGAAAGGCGUAACGAUUUGGGCACUGUCUCAACGAGAGACUCGGUGAAAUCAUAGUACCUGUGAAGAUGCAGGUUACCCGCGACAGGACGGAAAGACCCCGUGGAGCUUUACUGUAGCCUGAUAUUGAAAUUCGGCACAGCUUGUACAGGAUAGGUAGGAGCCUUUGAAACGUGAGCGCUAGCUUACGUGGAGGCGCUGGUGGGAUACUACCCUAGCUGUGUUGGCUUUCUAACCCGCACCACUUAUCGUGGUGGGAGACAGUGUCAGGCGGGCAGUUUGACUGGGGCGGUCGCCUCCUAAAAGGUAACGGAGGCGCUCAAAGGUUCCCUCAGAAUGGUUGGAAAUCAUUCAUAGAGUGUAAAGGCAUAAGGGAGCUUGACUGCGAGACCUACAAGUCGAGCAGGGUCGAAAGACGGACUUAGUGAUCCGGUGGUUCCGCAUGGAAGGGCCAUCGCUCAACGGAUAAAAGCUACCCCGGGGAUAACAGGCUUAUCUCCCCCAAGAGUUCACAUCGACGGGGAGGUUUGGCACCUCGAUGUCGGCUCAUCGCAUCCUGGGGCUGUAGUCGGUCCCAAGGGUUGGGCUGUUCGCCCAUUAAAGCGGUACGCGAGCUGGGUUCAGAACGUCGUGAGACAGUUCGGUCCCUAUCCGUCGUGGGCGUAGGAAAUUUGAGAGGAGCUGUCCUUAGUACGAGAGGACCGGGAUGGACAUACCUCUGGUGUACCAGUUGUCGUGCCAACGGCAUAGCUGGGUAGCUAUGUGUGGACGGGAUAAGUGCUGAAAGCAUCUAAGCAUGAAGCCCCCCUCAAGAUGAGAUUUCCCAACUUCGGUUAUAAGAUCCCUCAAAGAUGAUGAGGUUAAUAGGUUCGAGGUGGAAGCAUGGUGACAUGUGGAGCUGACGAAUACUAAUCGAUCGAAGACUUAAUCAA
rnacentral:rRNA from 1 species